GUCUCUAUGGCGCAAUUGGUCAGUGCAUCUGGCUGUUAACCAGAAGGCUGGUGGUUUGAGCCCACCCAGGGACA